AAAUUUUACAAUAAUUCUCACUAAAAUAUCUUGAAAAUCAUUGUAAGUCUGUUUAUAUAAAGCAUACAAAGCAUAUACAUCGAAAAGGAACCGCAAAACUCAAAGUUUGAACUUCGUGAUCGAAUGACAUAAAACUGACAUGUCAACUCUAGCAUUUUCGUCUUUGGUCGCGUAAUUUUGAAAACGGGUGUAACUUAAACUUUAAUCGCAGCACAGUUAAUAGAAUACAUGGUUUGGAGACUCGAUGAAAGUACAAUAGAACUCAUCAACUAUGUUGGUUUCGGUUUAUGCAAGAAUUUGGGCCUAUCUCGUCACGUGUGUAUUGUAUUUUUUCCUGCACAACCAAUAGCAAUGUUUAAAUUGAGCAUUUGUUCAAGUUACGGGUGGAUAACUCAACCACAAACUUGUUAUUGGUUAUUUGAGCGAAAAUACAAUACACACGUGACGAGAUAGGACCAAAUUCUUGCAUAAAGCUGGACAAUAACAUAGUUAAUGAGUUAUAUUGUACUUUCAUCGAGUCUCCAAACCAUUUAUUGAAAUAACUGUGAUCACAGGCAGCCCAACACACACGUAAAGUUGUUACAGGUCUGCAAGCAAGUUGUUACAAAAGCUGUCGAUAAGUUGUGUUCGCACUGCUUGUUCCCAGUUAUUGUAACAACUUUGGAACAAG